UCCUUGUUCACCCUGCAGCCUUGUGUCUGCUAUCCAGAUGGACUCAUUACAACGAUUCCUCCACAGCUGCCAGGUGUGUGCAGAUGACAGGAAGGGGCUGAUGGAGAAUUCCCAUAUGACCAAUCAAUACUGAGAUGACAGUAGCAGGAUGGCAUGUGUGUUGCUGUCAGAGCUGUUGUUGGUGCCAGGCUCUAUUGAUCAGUCCUAACAGUUAUCCCAGCCCUUUAAACUCAACCCAGGACUACUGCAGCACAGAAUUAAAUGAAAGAAAUCCCUCAGAGACAACAGAAUGGGAGAACUGCAGCAACAGCGUUGUACUGAAAAGCCCAUAUGUGCUCCCAGAGACCACUGAGCCGUGGGAGAAAAAUGGAUUACAAAUGAGAAAUUACCGCUGUGGAAUGAGAGGAAAACACAUUGCUUAAAUUUCCUUGUCUUUCAGGUAUUGAGCGAUUUGUCUCAAAUGCGCUGCAGAAAUGAAAAUAUGAAGCUUUUCCCUAACAUGAAUUUGAAUCAGCCCGUGGCUAUGCUAUUGACCCUCAAUCACAGCUCACAGCUCUUCCGAGAUUUGGAGUUAUGCUUUCUCUCUGCAUAUCACCAUCUAGUUUCUUUUUC
ensembl:lncRNA